rnacentral:lncRNA from 1 species
UAUAAAAUGCUUGACUUGAAAUGAUACAACAUUAACAGAGUCUAAACCCAUGCAUAUCUUGAAAGGUUUACCUGGAUCUGGAGGUGUCUUGGGAGCAGGAGGUGUACCAGGAGCUGGAACAGGAUUGGUAGGAGGUCCUGGCGUUCUGCCUGGAGGGCUUGGGACCGGUGUUGGAUAUGGAGGUAAAGUUUUAAAAACUUUCAUUAGAUGUGAAAUACUAAUUACUAAAAUUGAAGUAUGUCAUCUAAGCAUUGGUGGGUGAACCUGCUGUUUUGUUCAUUUUAUUCUAAAGGGUAUGGAGGAGCACAAAAACCACCUAAAUAUGGACAACCAGCUGGUGGGGUCGGAAGUGCGUUGGGUGGGUCGGUACCAGCAACUGGUGGAACUGGGGCCACAGGAACCGGAAUUGGAACUGGUGGUGUAGGUGGGGCUGGAGGCACACCAGUUUCAGGAACCAAGCCAGACAAAUAUGGUGAGUUGGCAAUCUAUGGUUAUAUCAUCUAACCAUCCAUAUCUCCAGUAAAAUAUU